rnacentral:lncRNA from 1 species
AAACACUCACCUAAAGGUUAAAGACUCACCCAAACAAGUGAGAGAGACACAACAUAUUCACCCAAAACCUUAAGGUGAUAUGUGUAUGGGUCCUCUUACUUAUAAAGUGCGCAACCUCGACUUUUCUAAGCAAUAUGGGACUUAGAACUCACACUUGUUUGUCAAUAAAACUCACACUUGUUUCCCAACAUAAUGAUGAUAAGCAAAAC